GCCGGAGUAGCUCAGUCGGUUAGAGCACAAGAAUCAUAAUCUUGGUGUCGGGGGUUCAAAUCCCUCCUCCGGUA
rnacentral:tRNA from 1 species